rnacentral:rRNA from 1 species
UACGGGGGGAGCAAGCGUUGUUCGGAUUUACUGGGCGUAAAGGCGCGGUAGGCGGUCAGCACAAGUCAGUUGUGAAAUCUCCGGGCUUAACUCGGAAAGGUCAACUGAUACUGUGCGACUAGAGUGCGGAAGGGGCAACUGGAAUUCUCGGUGUAGCGGUGAAAUGCGUAGAUAUCGAGAGGAACACCUGCGGCGAAGGCGGGUUGCUGGGCCGACACUGACGCUGAUGCGCGAAAGCCAGGGGAGCGAACGGG